rnacentral:ncRNA from 2 species
AUUUAAAUUAAAGCGCCAGAACUUAAGAAUGUAAUAAAUCUUAAGUUGACGAGGAUGGGAAGUAUCGAGAUUUCGGCGGAUGUCCCACGGUAUUGCACUAUCGUUAAAAGCUGAUAAACCCAAGGAGUGAUUCUUGGAACAACAUCAGCCUAUGUGCUUAA